UCCUAUCCCCUAGAGAGUUGGCUAUUUGGCUCAGACUAACCUCAAGUUUUGCAAUCGCUUGCGCAUGGAAUUGGUUAGUCUGGGUUUGAGCCAUGUUGGUCUGUUGUUGCUGUUGGAUGAAGUCUUGUUGCUGCUUCAUCAUGUUAGCCAUCAUGGCUUCCAAUGAUGUAGUUUGCUGAGGGAUAGGGGCACUAUAAGU
rnacentral:lncRNA from 1 species